UCAGUAUCCUCCACUGCCACGAGAUACAGGGAAAGUUGACACCAUUCCCAGUUUCAAAGCUGAAAGCAUAUUGAUUGGAAGAGGUGACAAAAUUUGCUUCCUGAGGCCCCAUCAAUUUUUUGAACCAUACCCUCAUGGUGUUUUUGAAGACAGAGAGUCUUGAAUCUAUUUUGAAUGGCUUUAUGGGUCCAGCUGCCACCACAUGCAGAUUUGACGUUUGCCUUCCUAUAUCUGGUUCUCAGAAUGACGAUAUUUGGGAGUUCCCACAAGGAAUGCUGAUCAGAUGGCUAACGACAAGUGUGCAUUUUCAGUAGUUUAAAAAAUAAAAAUAGAGUUACCAUAUGAUCC